AACGUACGCUGGCGGCACGCCUAACACAUGCAAGUCGAACGAAGUAGUAAUACUUAGUGGCAGACGGGUGAGUAACAUGUAGGUAUCUGCCCUUUGGCCUGGAAUAACACGAGGAAACUUGUGCUAAUACCGGAUAAGUCUUUACGGAGAAAGCUUUAUGCACCAUUGGAUGAGCCUGCACUUGAUUAGUUUGUUGGUGGGGUAACGGCCUACCAAGACUGUGAUCAAUAGCUGAUUUGAGAGGAUGAUCAGCCACAUUGGGACUGAGACACGGCCCAAACUCCUACGGGAGGCAGCAGUGGGGAAUCUUGCACAAUGGAGGAAACUCUGAUGCAGCGAUGCCGCGUGAGUGAAGAAGGCCUUUGGGUUGUAAAGCUCUUUCGUCGGGGAAGAAAAUGACUGUACCCGAAUAAGAAGGUCCGGCUAACUUCGUGCCAGCAGCCGCGGUAAUACGAAGGGACCUAGCGUAGUUCGGAAUUACUGGGCUUAAAGAGUUCGUAGGUGGUUGAAAAAGUUGGUGGUGAAAUCCCAGAGCUUAACUCUGGAACUGCCAUCAAAACUUUUCAGCUAGAGUAUGAUAGAGGAAAGCAGAAUUUCUAGUGUAGAGGUGAAAUUCGUAGAUAUUAGAAAGAAUACCAAUUGCGAAGGCAGCUUUCUGGAUCAUUACUGACACUGAGGAACGAAAGCAUGGGUAGCGAAGAGGAUUAGAUACCCUCGUAGUCCAUGCCGUAAACGAUGUGUGUUAGACGUUGGAAAUUUAUUUUCAGUGUCGCAGCGAAAGCGAUAAACACACCGCCUGGGGGAGUACGACCGCAAGGUUAAAACUCAAAUGAAUUGACGGGGACCCGCACAAGUAGUGGAGCAUGUGGUUUAAUUCGAAGAUACGCGCAGAACCUUACCAACACUUGACAUGUUCGUCGCGACUCUAAGAGAUUAGAGUUUUCGGUUCGGCCGGACGAAACACAGGUGCUGCAUGGCUGUCGUCAGCUCGUGU
rnacentral:rRNA from 1 species